GGGAGAUAUGAACCUGAUGCCAGUGGGUUGGUUCGCCCAUCACCAAUUGGAGUUGUUGGAGGCAUCUUGAUGGUAGUGUUAUACCUUAUACUUUGGAUAUAAGAAAUACAUUAAAAGGAACCAAUCACGAGGCUCCUCUAAGCGUGUGGAACGCUCUGAGAAUGAGAGAAAUGGACACGUACCCACUGAGGACAUUGAAAUGGGAGGCUAAGGGGAAGAAGAUGGAG